rnacentral:rRNA from 1 species
CGCCGCGGUAAUACGUAGGGGGCGAGCGUUGUCCGGAUUUAUUGGGCGUAAAGAGCUCGUAGGUGGUUUGGUAAGUCAAAUGUGAAAUCUCCACGCUCAACGUGGAGGGGCCAUUCGAUACUGCCAUGACUUGAGUUCGGUAGGGGAAUGUGGAAUUCCUGGUGUAGCGGUGAAAUGCGCAGAUAUCAGGAGGAACACCCGUAGCGAAGGCGGCAUUCUGGGCCGAUACUGACACUGAGGAGCGAAAGCGUGGGGAGCGAACAGGAUUAGAUACCCUGGUAGUCCACGCCGUAAACGGUGGGCACUAGGUGUGGGACCCUUUCGACGGGUUCCGUGCCGUAGCUAACGCAUUAAGUGCCCCGCCUGGGGAGUACGGCCGCAAGGCUAAAACUCAAAGGAAUUGACGGGGGCCCGCACAAGCGGCGGAGCAUGUGGCUUAAUUCGAUGCAACGCGAAGAACCUUACCUGGGUUGAACUAUGCAGGAAAAGCAGUAGAGAUACUGUGUCCUUCGGGGCCUGCGAUAGGUGGUGCAUGGCC